CCGGAAUUAUUGGGCGUAAAGGGCGCGUAGGCGGCUUUUUAAGUCUGGAGUGAAAGUCCUGUUUUCAAGAUGGGAAUUGCUUUGGAUACUGGAGAGCUUGAGUGCGGGAGAGGUUAUCGGAAUUCCCGGUGUAGCGGUGAAAUGCGUAGAGAUCGGGAGGAACACCAGUGGCGAAGGCGGGUAACUGGACCGCAACUGACGCUGAAGCGCGAAAGUGUGGGGAGCAAACAGGAUUAGAUACCCUGGUAGUCCACACUGUAAACGAUGAAUGCUAGGUGUAGGAGGUAUCGACCCCUUCUGUGCCGGAGUCAACACAAUAAGCAUUCCGCCUGGGGAGUACGGCCGCAAGGUUGAAACUCAAAGGAAUUGACGGGGGCCCGCACAAGCAGCGGAGCAUGUGGAUUAAUUCGACGCAACGCGAAGAACCUUACCAGGUCUUGACAUCCAGUAAAGCCUGUAGAGAUACAGAGUCCCUUCGGGGGUACUGAGACAGGUGGUGCAUGGUUGUCGUCAGCUCGUGUCGUGAGAUGUUGGGUUAAGUCCCGCAACGAGCGCAACCCUUGCCGAUAGUUACUAACGGGUAAAGCCGAGGACUCUAUUGGGACUGCCGGGGACAACUCGGAGGAAGGGUGGGGACGACGUCAAAUCAUCAUGCCCCUUAUGACCUGGGGCUUCACACGUGCUACAAUGGGCGGAAAACGAAGGAGGAGCGGAAUCGCGCAAUGGAGGGAGCCAGAUCUCAAAAACCUCGGGUCUCAGGUCCGGAUUGUGGGCUGGCAAUCUCGCCUCACCAUUGGAUGUCGGGAGUUGGCUAGUAAUCGGCGGAAUCGAC
rnacentral:rRNA from 1 species